UACGGAGGGUGCAAGCGUUAUCCGGAUUCACUGGGUUUAAAGGGUGCGUAGGUGGGCAGGUAAGUCAGCGGUGAAAUCUCCGGGCUUAACCCGGAAACUGCCAUUGAUACUAAUGGUCUUGAAUUUUGUUGAGGUAGGCGGAAUAUGUCAUGUAGCGGUGAAAUGCUUAGAUAUGAACAUAGAACACCGAUUGCGAAGGACAGCUUACUAAGCAAAUAUUGACGCUGAGGCACGAAAGCGUGGGGAUCAAACAGG
rnacentral:rRNA from 1 species